CUGAGAGGGGUUAGUGAGUAACAGGUAAAGGGACACUGAGAGGGGUUAGUGAGUAACAGGUAAAGGGACACUGAGAGGGGUUAAUGAGUAACAGGUAAAGGGACACUGAGAGGGGUUAAUGAGUAACAGGUAAAGGGACACUGAGAGGGGUUAAUGAGUAACAGGUAAAGGGACACUGAGAGGGGUUAAUGAGUAACAGGUAAAGGGA